UACGUAGGGGGCAAGCGUUGUCCGGAAUCAUUGGGCGUAAAGCGCGUGUAGGCGGUUCAGUAAGUCUGCUGUGAAAGUCCAGGGCUCAACCCUGGGAUGCCGGUGGAUACUGCUGGACUAGAGUGCGGAAGAGGCGAGUGGAAUUCCCGGUGUAGCGGUGAAAUGCGCAGAUAUCGGGAGGAACACCAAUUGCGAAGGCAGCUCGCUGGGACGUUACUGACGCUGAGGCGCGAAAGCGUGGGGAGC
rnacentral:rRNA from 1 species